rnacentral:lncRNA from 7 species
ACGUCUGUGGUGCCGUUGGAGGCGGCGGGUGCUGAUCGUGAGGGCGCGUUCGCGGAGCUUCAGCUUUACUCGGUCAGGUGAAUAAGCCGACGCAGCCGCCUGGCGCAGCUUCACAUCAGCAUGAAGGAGUUUGGAAGCGUACUUGUGACUUUCAGAGCCUGACAUCUCCUUGGAGCACUGCUUCAGAGUCAUUCCUGUCACUCAGAGGGAACCCACCGCUGCACCCACUAACACACCCAGCUCCCUCCAGACCGAAUGUGCAGAGUCAUUGCAGGGCACUCGGCUCCCUGGCAAGUGGGACAGUUCCCUGCUGCUCAAUGAACUGACUGUGACCAUAAAUUCUGCCUUUGCACACUGGGUUGCUAUUUAAAGUCACAGUAUCACUCAUCAGGGAAAUUACUUUCCAAAAUGUGCCCCUCUCUAUAGAGGAGAAAAAGCUGGGGAUGGUGCUGAAGCGUCUGUGUUGCAGACACUGAGCUGCCUUUUCAUGGCACUGGAGAUCACACCUACCAAGCCUCAAAUCAAAUUAGUUUUCAUUGGGUCUGCUAUUGUAAAAAUGCGUUGGAAGGAGUAACAUGCCCCAAAAAUCUGUCAUCUAAAUGGAAGUCCAGCCACAGUUCCCAUUGCAAGAAAAAUUAAAAAUUGGCUUUAUUGUUACAAGGCUCUUAAAUGAGCUUAAUUUCUGAUCUUAACUGUAGAUAUCAGCAGGAGGAAGUAUUGGCUAGCUACAGAUAAAAUACUUAAAGCAGAAAAAGCCAGUAUUCCCAUUUAGAAAAUUCUGUAACACAGUGGAUAUUGGGCACUUGCCAUUUUCAAUACACUUUUCUAUUUUUUAAUGCUGCCAGUCCAUUCUGUGUGGAACUUGGGGCUCACCCCUUUCCCCAAAGCAGCAGGGCCGGUGCAGUAUUGCUAUGGGGAAGUUUUGUCCUCACAGCACCUCUGUAAGUAUGAGCAGUGGGGCUGCUCCAGCCUAUAGCACGGUGCCAUAUUUUUAGAUCCUCAGCUCACAUUUCAGUGAACAUGAAGUAUCUUUGUGUGUCAACAGACCCAAAAUGUCUCCCAGUGGAGCGUGAAGCAUGUCGACGUAGCAGGGACGUAAUCUGGGCAGUUCGUGGAAGCUUACAUCAUUAAGUCUAUCACUGGAAUGUGUUUGAU